rnacentral:rRNA from 1 species
CCCCCCCCCCUGGGCUGUGGUUUAAUUCGAAGCAACGCGAAGACCUUCCGGUCCCCCCUCCUCUGCAAUCCUAGAGAUAGGACGUCCCCUUCGGGGGCAGAGUGACAGGUGGUGCAAAAAAUCAGCUCGUGUCGUGAGAUGUUGGGUUAAGUCCCGCAACGAGCGCAACCCUUGAUCUUAGUUGCCAGCAUUCAGUUGGGCACUCUAAGGUGACUGCCGGUGACAAACCGGAGGAAGGUGGGGAUGACGUCAAAUCAUCAUGCCCCUUAUGACCUGGGCUACACACGUGCUACAAUGUCUUAACAAAGGGCAGGGAACGCGAGGUUAAG